UACGUAGGUGGCAAGCGUUAUCCGGAAUUAUUGGGCGUAAAGCGCGCGCAGGCGGUUUCUUAAGUCUGAUGUGAAAGCCCACGGCUCAACCGUGGAGGGUCAUUGGAAACUGGGGAACUUGAGUGCAGAAGAGGCGAGUGGAAUUCCUGGUGUAGCGGUGGAAUGCGCAGAUAUCAGGAGGAACACCGAUAGCGAAGGCAGCCUCCUGGGCCAACACUGACGCUCAUGCACGAAAGCGUGGGGACCAAACAGG
rnacentral:rRNA from 1 species